rnacentral:tRNA from 1 species
UGGGGAAUCGUCUAAUGGUAGGACAACGGUCUCUGACACCGUUAAUCCAGGUUCGAGCCCUGGUUCCCCAGCCA